CUUCUUAAUCCUCUCGACUAGAUCAUUGUUCUUGCCAUAUUGCUUCACCUGUGCACCUGCUUCUUGGGACAGCACUCUUAUUUUCUCAUGGCAAACCUGUUACAGAAGAGUAACGUUGAUUUUCUUUGAUAGAGAGAAUGAUAAGAGGAACAGAUCUUUAAAUAUUUACCUACUCUGAUCAACUAUAUAAUAAUUCAAACAUAAAAAUCGCACCUGUCUAUCACCCCCAGCUUUUACCAUAGCCAUUAUUACAUUUUCUGAGGCCAUGAAAGGUAAUUCUUGGUCGAUGUGCCUGGCAAUGACAUUGGGA